rnacentral:rRNA from 1 species
UGGGGAAUCUUGGACAAUGGGGGCAACCCUGAUCCAGCCAUGCCGCGUGAGUGAUGAAGGCCUUAGGGUCGUAAAGCUCUUUCGCCUGUGAAGAUAAUGACGGUAGCAGGUAAAGAAACCCCGGCUAACUCCGUGCCAGCAGCCGCGGUAAUACGGAGGGGGUUAGCGUUGUUCGGAAUUACUGGGCGUAAAGCGCACGUAGGCGGACCAGAAAGUUGGGGGUGAAAUCCCGGGGGCUCAACCCCGGAACUGCCUCCAAAACUAUUGGUCUAGAGUUCGAGAGAGGUGAGUGGAAUUCCAAGUGUAGAGGUGAAAUUCGUAGAUAUUUGGAGGAACACCAGUGGCGAAGGCGGCUCACUGGCUCGAUACUGACGCUGAGGUGCGAAAGUGUGGGGAGCAAACAGGAUUAGAUACCCUGGUAGUCCACACCGUAAAACGAUGAAUGCCAGUCGUCGGGUAGCAUGCUAUUCGGUGACACACCUAACGGAUUAAGCAUUCCGCCUGGGGAGUACGGUCGCAAGAUUAAAACUC